AAUGAACGCUGGCGGCAGGCCUAACACAUGCAAGUCGAACGGAUCCUUCGGGAUUAGUGGCGGACGGGUGAGUAACGCGUGGGAACAUACCCAAAGGUACGGAAUAGCCUCGGGAAACUGGGAGUAAUACCGUAUGUGCUCGAAAGAGGAAAGAUUUAUCGCCUUUGGAUUGGCCCGCGUUGGAUUGGGUAGUUGGUGGGGUAAAGGCCUACCAAGCCGACGAUCUUUAGCUGGUCUGAGAGGAUGAUCAGCCACACUGGGACUGAGACACGGCCCAGACUCCUACGGGAGGCAGCAGUGGGGAAUAUUGGACAAUGGGCGAAAGCCUGAUCCAGCAAUGCCGCGUGAGUGAUGAAGGCCUUAGGGUUGUAAAGCUCUUUUACCAGGGAUGAUAAUGACAGUACCUGGAGAAUAAGCUCCGGCUAACUCCGUGCCAGCAGCCGCCGUAA
rnacentral:rRNA from 1 species